AACGUAGGUGGCGAGCGUUAUCCGGAUUUACUGGGCGUAAAGCGUGCGCAGGCGGUUCGUUGUGUCGGCGGUGAAAGCCCCGGGCUUAACCUGGGAAUGGCCGUUGAAACUGGCGAACUGGAGUGUGGCAGAGGGGGGUGGAAUUCCACGUGUAGCAGUGAAAUGCGUAGAGAUGUGGAGGAAUACCGAUGGCGAAGGCAGCCCCCUGGGCCAAUACUGACGCUCAUGCACGAAAGCGUGGGGAGCAAACAGG
rnacentral:rRNA from 1 species